UACAGAGGUCCCAAGGCGUUGUUCGGAUUCACUGGGCGUAAAGGGUGCGUAGGUGGUCGGGUAAGUCUGAUGUGAAAUCUCUGGGCUCAACCCAGAAAUGGCAUUGGAUACUAUUCGGCUUAGAGGAGUGGAGGGGGGACUGGAAUACUUGGUGUAGCAGUGAAAUGCGUAGAUAUCAAGUGGAACACCAGUGGCGAAGGCGAGUCCCUGGACACUUCCUGACACUGAGGCACAGAAGCGUAGGGGAGCAAAACAGG
rnacentral:rRNA from 1 species